rnacentral:tRNA from 1 species
CCGAGACCGACCUCUUCGGCGAGCAGGCCGUGCUCUGCGGCGGCACGUCGGCGCUGGUCCAGGCAGGGUUCGAGACCCUCGUCGAGGC